rnacentral:lncRNA from 1 species
CUCGUGAUUAAAUAGAACCAGAUGCUCCGCAGGGCGUAGCUUUAUACGACCGCAGAGGUUGAACCCUGAACGGUUGGGGCAAGUAUGGACACAACAUUCAAGCUGGAUUCAGCUCUAAAUUUGGAUUGUGAUUAAAUAGUUGACACAGCAUAGGUUUCUGACACAGAAUGAAUGUGUUCUAACGAACUUAAAAUUUUAGUUUUCUCUUAGAGCAAUUCACUAUGCUGUUGAAUAUUAAUCCUCUCAAAAAAAUGUUUGAAGAAAUUUUCUUUUUAUUUAUGAAAUU